rnacentral:tRNA from 1 species
GCCUAGCUGGCUCAGUCAGUAGAGCAUGAAACUCUUGAUCUUGAAGUUGUGAGUUUGAGCCUCAUGUUGGGGU